UACGGAAGGCAGCAGUGGGGAAUAUUGCACAAUGGGCGCAAGCCUGAUGCAGCCAUGCCGCGUGUAUGAAGAAGGUCUUCGGGUUGUAAAGUACUUUCAGCGGGGAGGAAGGCGGUGGAGUUAAUAGCUUCACCGAUUGACGUUACCCGCAGAAGAAGCACCGGCUAACUCCGUGCCAGCAGCCGCGGUAAUACGGAGGGUGCAAGCGUUAAUCGGAAUUACUGGGCGUAAAGCGCACGCAGGCGGUCUGUCAAGUCGGAUGUGAAAUCCCCGGGCUUAACCUGGGAACUGCAUUCGAAACUGGCAGGCUAGAGUCUUGUAGAGGGGGUAGAAUUCCAGGUGUAGCGGUGAAAUGCGUAGAGAUCUGGAGGAAUACCGGUGGCGAAGGCGGCCCCUGGGACAAAGCUGACGCUCAGGU
rnacentral:rRNA from 1 species